GACGAACGCUGGCGGCGUGCUUAACACAUGCAAGUCGAACGGAAAGGCCCUGCUUUUGUGGGGUGCUCGAGUGGCGAACGGGUGAGUAACACGUGAGUAACCUGCCCUUGACUUUGGGAUAACUUCAGGAAACUGGGGCUAAUACCGGAUAGGAGCUCCUGCUGCAUGGUGGGGGUUGGAAAGUUUCGGCGGUUGGGGAUGGACUCGCGGCUUAUCAGCUUGUUGGUGGGGUAGUGGCUUACCAAGGCUUUGACGGGUAGCCGGCCUGAGAGGGUGACCGGCAACAUUGGGACUGAGAGACGGCCCAGACUCCUACGGGAGGCAGCAGUGGGGAAUAUUGCACAAUGGGCGCAAGCCUGAUCCAGCAAUGCCGCGUGCGGGAAGAAGGCCUUCGGGUUGUAAACCGCUUUUGGCAGGAACGAAACGGUGUCCGCUAAUACCGGGCGCUAAUGACGGUACCUGCAGAAUAAGCACCGGCUAACUACGUG
rnacentral:rRNA from 1 species